rnacentral:rRNA from 1 species
UUAAGUUAUUAAGGGCGCACGGUGGAUGCCUUGGCACUAGAAGCCGAUGAAGGACGUUACUAACGACGAUAUGCUUUGGGGAGCUGUAAGUAAGCUUUGAUCCAGAGAUUUCCGAAUGGGGAAACCCAGCAUGAGUUAUGUCAUGUUAUCGAUAUGUGAAUACAUAGCAUAUCAGAAGGCACACCCGGAGAACUGAAACAUCUUAGUACCCGGAGGAAGAGAAAGAAAAUUCGAUUCCCUUAGUAGCGGCGAGCGAAACGGGAAGAGCCCAAACCAACAAGCUUGCUUGUUGGGGUUGUAGGACACUCUAUACGGAGUUACAAAGGACGACAUUAGACGAAUCAUCUGGAAAGAUGAAUCAAAGAAGGUAAUAAUCCUGUAGUCGAAAAUGUUGUCUCUCUUGAGUGGAUCCUGAGUACGACGGAGCACGUGAAAUUCCGUCGGAAUCUGGGAGGACCAUCUCCUAAGGCUAAAUACUCUCUAGUGACCGAUAGUGAACCAGUACCGUGAGGGAAAGGUGAAAAGCACCCCGGAAGGGGAGUGAAAUAGAACCUGAAACCGUGUGCUUACAAGUAGUCAGAGCCCGUUAAUGGGUGAUGGCGUGCCUUUUGUAGAAUGAACCGGCGAGUUACGAUUUGAUGCAAGGUUAAGCAGUAAAUGUGGAGCCGUAGCGAAAGCGAGUCUGAAUAGGGCGUUUAGUAUUUGGUCGUAGACCCGAAACCAGGUGAUCUACCCUUGGUCAGGUUGAAGUUCAGGUAACACUGAAUGGAGGACCGAACCGACUUACGUUGAAAAGUGAGCGGAUGAACUGAGGGUAGCGGAGAAAUUCCAAUCGAACCUGGAGAUAGCUGGUUCUCUCCGAAAUAGCUUUAGGGCUAGCCUCAAGUGAUGAUUAUUGGAGGUAGAGCACUGUUUGGACGAGGGGCCCCUCUCGGGUUACCGAAUUCAGACAAACUCCGAAUGCCAAUUAAUUUAACUUGGGAGUCAGAACAUGGGUGAUAAGGUCCGUGUUCGAAAGGGAAACAGCCCAGACCACCAGCUAAGGUCCCAAAAUAUAUGUUAAGUGGAAAAGGAUGUGGCGUUGCCCAGACAACUAGGAUGUUGGCUUAGAAGCAGCCAUCAUUUAAAGAGUGCGUAAUAGCUCACUAGUCGAGUGACACUGCGCCGAAAAUGUACCGGGGCUAAACAUAUUACCGAAGCUGUGGAUUGUCCUUUGGACAAUGGUAGGAGAGCGUUCUAAGGGCGUUGAAGCAUGAUCGUAAGGACAUGUGGAGCGCUUAGAAGUGAGAAUGCCGGUGUGAGUAGCGAAAGACGGGUGAGAAUCCCGUCCACCGAUUGACUAAGGUUUCCAGAGGAAGGCUCGUCCGCUCUGGGUUAGUCGGGUCCUAAGCUGAGGCCGACAGGCGUAGGCGAUGGAUAACAGGUUGAUAUUCCUGUACCACCUAUAAUCGUUUUAAUCGAUGGGGGGACGCAGUAGGAUAGGCGAAGCGUGCGAUUGGAUUGCACGUCUAAGCAGUAAGGCUGAGUAUUAGGCAAAUCCGGUACUCGUUAAGGCUGAGCUGUGAUGGGGAGAAGACAUUGUGUCUUCGAGUCGUUGAUUUCACACUGCCGAGAAAAGCCUCUAGAUAGAAAAUAGGUGCCCGUACCGCAAACCGACACAGGUAGUCAAGAUGAGAAUUCUAAGGUGAGCGAGCGAACUCUCGUUAAGGAACUCGGCAAAAUGACCCCGUAACUUCGGGAGAAGGGGUGCUCUUUAGGGUUAACGCCCAGAAGAGCCGCAGUGAAUAGGCCCAAGCGACUGUUUAUCAAAAACACAGGUCUCUGCUAAACCGUAAGGUGAUGUAUAGGGGCUGACGCCUGCCCGGUGCUGGAAGGUUAAGAGGAGUGGUUAGCUUCUGCGAAGCUACGAAUCGAAGCCCCAGUAAACGGCGGCCGUAACUAUAACGGUCCUAAGGUAGCGAAAUUCCUUGUCGGGUAAGUUCCGACCCGCACGAAAGGCGUAACGAUUUGGGCACUGUCUCAACGAGAGACUCGGUGAAAUCAUAGUACCUGUGAAGAUGCAGGUUACCCGCGACAGGACGGAAAGACCCCGUGGAGCUUUACUGUAGCCUGAUAUUGAAAUUCGGCACAGCUUGUACAGGAUAGGUAGGAGCCUUUGAAACGUGAGCGCUAGCUUACGUGGAGGCGCUGGUGGGAUACUACCCUAGCUGUGUUGGCUUUCUAACCCGCACCACUUAUCGUGGUGGGAGACAGUGUCAGGCGGGCAGUUUGACUGGGGCGGUCGCCUCCUAAAAGGUAACGGAGGCGCUCAAAGGUUCCCUCAGAAUGGUUGGAAAUCAUUCAUAGAGUGUAAAGGCAUAAGGGAGCUUGACUGCGAGACCUACAAGUCGAGCAGGGUCGAAAGACGGACUUAGUGAUCCGGUGGUUCCGCAUGGAAGGGCCAUCGCUCAACGGAUAAAAGCUACCCCGGGGAUAACAGGCUUAUCUCCCCCAAGAGUUCACAUCGACGGGGAGGUUUGGCACCUCGAUGUCGGCUCAUCGCAUCCUGGGGCUGUAGUCGGUCCCAAGGGUUGGGCUGUUCGCCCAUUAAAGUGGUACGCGAGCUGGGUUCAGAACGUCGUGAGACAGUUCGGUCCCUAUCCGUCGUGGGCGUAGGAAAUUUGAGAGGAGCUGUCCUUAGUACGAGAGGACCGGGAUGGACAUACCUCUGGUGUACCAGUUGUCGUGCCAACGGCAUAGCUGGGUAGCUAUGUGUGGACGGGAUAAGUGCUGAAAGCAUCUAAGCAUGAAGCCCCCCUCAAGAUGAGAUUUCCCAACUUCGGUUAUAAGAUCCCUCAAAGAUGAUGAGGUUAAUAGGUUCGAGGUGGAAGCAUGGUGACAUGUGGAGCUGACGAAUACUAAUCGAUCGAAGACUUAAUCAA